UACAGAGGUGGCAAGCGUUGUUCGGAAUUACUGGGCGUAAAGGGCGCGUAGGCGGUCUUUUAAGUCUUGUGUGAAAUCCCUCGGCUCAACUGAGGAACUGCACGGGAUACUGGAAGACUUGAGUUCGGGAGAGGGAAGCGGAAUUCCGGGUGUAGCGGUGAAAUGCGUAGAUAUCCGGAGGAACACCGGUGGCGAAGGCGGCUUCCUGGACCGAUUACUGACGCUGAGGAGCGAAAGCGUGGGUAGCAAACAGG
rnacentral:rRNA from 1 species